rnacentral:rRNA from 1 species
GAGAGACGAAACAGUGAUGUGGAGUAAAACUUAUAAAAGCGACCUCAGUUCGGAUUGAAGGCUGAAAUUCGCCUUCAUGAAGUCGGAAUUGCUAGUAAUGGCAGGUCAGCAUACUGCCGUGAAUACGUUCCCGGGCCUUGUACACACCGCCCGUCACACCAUGAGAGUUGGAGAUACCCGAAGCCUAUGAGCUAACUUUUAGAGGCAGUAGUCGAAGGUAGAAUCAAUGAUUGGGGUGAAGUCGUAACAAGGUACC